CCGCUCUUGAGCUCGCAGCGCCUCUCACUCCGCAACGCGCACAGCGAGCAGGCGGUCGGCAGGGGCGGACGGACGUCCGCGCGGACCGGGCGCCCCGCAGGACGGACACGGAGUUAAUGAAGUACUGCUUUCAGAAAAGGAAGUGAUGGAAAUUGGAAGAGGCUAAGAUCCCUAUCUUUAUCUGCACCAAUGAAAAUCCGUAUUUCAUUUGAAAAAAAUAAAACCGUCUUCCAAUCGUGCAGGAAGUAUGCAGCAACCGCAUGUGCCUCCAUUUCUUAACCACUCAACAGGCUGGGUCUCCAAUGCCUCUGGUUUUCUUGAAUUAGAAAUGAAUUUUCCCUUUUCUGGGUUUCGCUUCUUUUCAGAAUGUACCUCAAAAUGUCCUAGCCCAGGUUGGAAAAGGAAAUCCAUUUUACACAGUAGAAAUUACAAUAUCUUUCAUAUUGCAACCAAGGGGCAAUCAGGUUCAUUAUUUUGUGUGAUUUAUCGCAAAUUGCAACCACCGGUAUUUUGGUGAAAUUGUAAAGCCUAAUUGGGAUUAUUGGAUGGAAAGCCCAGCCAACAGAAUAUUGAUCCCUGAACUCAAAGCAAUGAGUAAGCUGCUUUGGCUCAGUUAUGCUUAUAUAUAUUUUUUCCCCUCAAACAUGUUUGGCCUUUCAGAGAGUCCUCAGCUUACAACCACAAUUGAGCCCAAAAUUUAUCUUGCCAAGUGAGAAAUUUGUUAUGUGAGUAUUGCCCCCUUUUACGACUUCUCUCACCACAUCUGUUAAGUGGAAUCACUGCAGUUUCUUAAAUUAAUAACACAGUUGUAAGUGAAUCUGCUUUCCCUACUGAUUUUGCUUGUCGGAUGGUCGCAAAAGGGGAUCCUGUGACUCCAGGAUACUGCAACUGUCGUUAAUGUGAGUCAGUGUGGAAAAUGGUCAUCAGUCCCUUUUUAAAGUGGUUUUGUAAGUUCGAAUGGUCACUAAAUGAACGGUUGUAAGUCGAGGAUUACCUGUACUGCAACCGUCAUAAAUAGGAGCCAGUUGCCCAGCAUCUGAAUUUUGGCCAUGUGGCCAUGGAGACGUUUCAAUGGUCCUAAGUCACUUCUAGUACCGUUGUACUCGACUCGCCUUAACAACAGUGGCAAGAAAGAUAAAACGGGGCAAAACUGACUUACGUGUCUCCCUUAGCAACUGAAAUUUGGGGCUUAAUAAUUGUGGUUGUAGGAAAGCUAGAAAUGAAUAUUGUAUAGUUUUUCAGUUCUGAGAAAUAGAUAUGUUGACUUGUGAUGUGUGUUUGAUCCUCAAAUUUGCCCAACCGCCUUCUGAGGGCAAAAGGAAAAAAAAAAUUUAAAUGUCUUCUUUGUUUAAAAUAAAUGAUAAAUAAACGAUGAUUAAAAUAAAGCU
rnacentral:lncRNA from 1 species